rnacentral:lncRNA from 1 species
CAAACGGAGGCUAAGAAAUUAAGCCAUAAAAGAAGUGUAGGUAAAUAAUACCUUUCAAGAAUAAUUGUAAUUUUAUUUUUAUUUUUAUUUUUUUAAAUUUUAUAACGAAGUACCAAGUAGUAACUAUAAGUCUAUAAUCCUACAAUACACACAAUAGAAAUCAAGAAAUAUAUAUGACCAAAAAGAGAGCCAAAUAGGUGGCUAAGAGUAUCAAAGCACACCUCCACUCCCUCCACCCGCCGCCGCAGCCGCAGGGGGUGGCAAACACGAAGUGCAUAAAACACCCAUCAAUGGAUGCCAAAAAUAAUAUACAAAACAUAGUAACUUCAUCAUUUGCACACAAUAUUCUGAAGUUGUCGGGUAGCAAUAACAAUAUCCAUGGAACAGUUCAUGUCAGUAGCCUUAUUUUUCUUAAUCACCUUCAUCAGCUCCACCUUCCCACUGAGUUUUGAUUGGCUAGUAAUUCUCACAAAACCAGAGCUCAAACCAUUUCCCAGCUGAGAGUUCGCCGGAAAACUCAAUUCCACCACUUCAUUAAACCUCCUCGUCUUCCGUGCCCUGGCUCGAGCUCUCUGCACCACCACCUCGCCAACCUGAUCGCUGCCGUAGAAGAAAUAAACAGUGCUGUUCUGGUACUUAAAGUGCCCGAAAUUCGUGUUCCUUACUCCAAACUCUGCGUUCAUCGUAAAACGCAACGAAGGGGUUGUUGUAAAGUUGUCCAACGUUGCGGAAUGCAAUCGAAACUUUGGAGUUCUGAUUUUCAUUACGGUUAGGGCAAAAAGUAGUAUAAUCCCAGUUUGAAAAACGGCGAAGAGAACAAUAUAAAGUAAACAUUUCAUGCGUUUCUUUUUGCGUAAUUCUCUUGCAUCAUUGGAUGCUAAUUCUGUGUCACUUCGUGGAUAGCCAAUGACUGUAGGGGCCAAAGGGAUUGGUGAUUGCUGCUGCUUAUUUUCUGCCAUCCAAUCUUCACUUUUAGAGAGAGAAGAUCAGAUUUUAUGAGGAAAAAAAGUACUUUUUUCUCUCCCUUCUUGGCUUUUUGAUAUUUUCUUUUCAGUUGGAAAGAUGGUAAGAAAUUUUGCCCAUGAAUGAAAAGAUGGUAGGGAUUAGCAACUUAUAUAUAAUCGAUUUUUUCAUUUUUGUUUUUCUUAUUUGUUUUGACCUGAAAGUUAAAAUUAACGCGUCAGGCUGCUUAUUUUGA